rnacentral:rRNA from 1 species
GACGAACGCUGGCGGCGUGCUUAACACAUGUAAGUCGAACGGAAAGGCCCUGCUUUUGUGGGGUGCUCGAGUGGCGAACGGGUGAGUAACACGUGAGUAACCUGCCCUUGACUUUGGGAUAACUUCAGGAAACUGGGGCUAAUACCGGAUAGGAGCUCCUGCUGCAUGGUGGGGGUUGGAAAGUUUCGGCGGUUGGGGAUGGACUCGCGGCUUAUCAGCUUGUUGGUGGGGUAGUGGCUUACCAAGGCUUUGACGGGUAGCCGGCCUGAGAGGGUGACCGGCCACAUUGGGACUGAGAGACGGCCCAGACUCCUACGGGAGGCAGCAGUGGGGAAUAUUGCACAAUGGGCGGAAGCCUGAUGCAGCAACGCCGCGUGCGGGAUGACGGCCUUCGGGUUGUAAACCGCUUUCGCCGGUGACGAAGCGUGAGUGACGGUAAUGGGUAAAGAAGCACCGGCUAACUACGUG